UGGUGUGACGAGCUGGCAUCUUGCUUGGUGUUCUUCACAAUGCAGAUGGCAGCUGGGCACAAGUGAUUUGGGCAGAAUGUCAUUUGGAGUUGAAAAUAUGGGAUGUCCCUGGAAAAGAUGCCAUCUGCUGCUCCACGGUUUGUGCCAGUCUAGUGGUGCUCUCACAGAUGCCAUGGGCACUGACACACUCCCCCUACCACAACAGAUGCUGGCAUAGGACUGGUCCAUUUCGUCUUUGGCCCGGAGAACAUGGCGUCUGUUUAUUCCAUAAAUGUUGUGAACUGUUGACUUGAUGAUUCUGCUGCCCUGCGUUCCAUCUCAGACGAGACCGAGCCUGGAGAAGCUGGUGGCACCUCUGGGCGCCGGUGAUGUGUGGCUUCUGCUCUGUGACUGGUGUCGGGUGACAAAGGUUUACCAAGGAGCUUUUGCGCCCACAUCCUGAUAUCCAUUAGACGGUGACAUCUGAGGAGCCAGACAUGACACACAUAUUCACAGCUGGAUUUCAGCCUUGACCUUUAAUUUUACCUUCUGCACUGUUGGGGGUAAAACACCCAAAAUCCCACCAAUUUUAGGAGGCUCCUUAUCUGCUAGGACAUGGCCGCCUGACCUGCCACACAUCACCUUCUUCUUUCAAGUUGUCACCUCAUUAUGAGUCCCAGACUGUGCUGUCCCAACUUUUUUGGAAUGUAUUGCAGACACCAAUUUCACAAUAAAUGUCUGUCUUCAAAAA